UACGUAGGGGGCAAGCGUUGUCCGGAUUUAUUGGGCGUAAAGAGCGUGUAGGCGGCCAGGUAGGUCUGCUGUGAAAACUCGAGGCUUAACCUCGAGAUGUCGGCGGAAACCAUCUGGCUAGAGUCCGGAAGAGGAGAAUGGAAUUCCCGGUGUAGCGGUGAAAUGCGCAGAUAUCUGGAGGAAUACCGGUGGCGAAGGCGGCAUCCUGGACCGACAUUGACGCUGAACGGCGAAAGCUAGGGGAGCAAACGGG
rnacentral:rRNA from 1 species